CUGGCUCAGAUUGAACGCUGGCGGCAGGCCUAAUACAUGCAAGUCGAACGGUAAUAUAGGAAAAGCUUGCUUUCCUGAUGACGAGUGGCGGACGGGUGAGUAAAGUUGGGAAGCUACCUGAUAGAGGGGGACAACAGUUGGAAACGACUGCUAAUACCGCAUACAGCCUGAGGGUGAAAGCAGCAAUGCGCUAUCAGAUGCGCCCAAAUGGGAUUAGCUAGUAGGUGAGGUAAAGGCUCACCUAGGCGACGAUCUCUAGCUGGUCUGAGAGGAUGAUCAGCCACAUUGGGACUGAGACACCGGCCCAGACUCCUACGGGAGGCAGCAGGUAGGGAAUAUUGCACAAUGGAAGGAAACUCUGAUGCAGCCAUGCCGCGUGUGUGAAGAAGGCCGUUCGGGUUAGUAAAGCUACUUUCGGAGGGGAGGAGAAUGACGUUACCCUCGGAAGAAGCACCGGCUAACUCCGUGCCAGCCGCUGC
rnacentral:rRNA from 1 species